ensembl:lncRNA
AGCCUCUAAUAAAGCUUGUGCUUUCAAUGGCACUUUGUUACAACUUUUAUUAAAUAUAAAUAUUAAUUUGCUACAUUCAUAUAGGCUAGUUCUCUGUAAGCAAAACUGGAUCUGAUUGUUAGCAGAUAAUGAAAUUCUCAGUUAAAGCCCAAAUAAACAUGAUUUGACUGUCCAUCAGUUUCAUCAGUGUCCAGCAGCUCAUAAGCCAAUGGUUUCAUAUGUGGACGGAUAACGCUCUCAACUCUAGCACUGUGUACUUUAUCUAAAGAAUGUAAUAAAAAAAUGAUUUGGAGUUUUAAGAUUUAUUUCCAAAACCUGUAGAAAACAAGAUAUAACGUGUGUCUCUAUCAGGCUGCUGUCUCUGGGAAUUAUGUCUCGACAAAAGCAGAAUGUGCUGUGGCUGAUGAUCAUCUGUUGUGCUACGUGCCAGAUAAGUACUGUAUGUUGCUUCAAAAAAGCAGCAAGUUCAGAAAACUCGACAGAUCAGUGUUUCUGGAACAGCAGUAGCUCAACACAAGUUAUUAAAUGGACCUGUCCAUCAGUUGAUGAAAAAAUGAAUCAGGAAGAUGAGGAUGAAGGUGUUGAACCCUCAGAAGCAUCAGACGCCUUGGACGAACUGGAGUCUGACAUGGAAGAAAUGGAAAAUAACAAUAUAAGCAAUGCAUCAUAUCAUCAAAUCAGAACACGAUAAACGAUGUUGACUGUCAAAGUAUCCCAAAUACAAACUUUUCAUGGGCUGUAAAGAUUCCCAAGGAAGCAGUGUAUAAAUCACGACGGGAAAACAAUGGAUGUGCGUUUGUUG